CCUACGGGUGGCAGCAGUGGGGAAUAUUGCACAAUGGGCGCAAGCCUGAUGCAGCCAUGCCGCGUGUGUGAAGAAGGCCUCCGGGUUGUAAAGCACUUUCAGCGGGGAGGAAGGCGUUAAGGUUAAUAACCUUGGCGAUUGACGUUACCCGCAGAAGAAGCACCGGCUAACUCCGUGCCAGCAGCCGCGGUAAUACGGAGGGUGCAAGCGUUAAUCGGAAUUACUGGGCGUAAAGCGCACGCAGGCGGUCUGUCAAGUCGGAUGUGAAAUCCCCGGGCUCAACCUGGGAACUGCAUUCGAAACUGGCAGGCUAGAGUCUUGUAGAGGGGGGUAGAAUUCCAGGUGUAGCGGUGAAAUGCGUAGAGAUCUGGAGGAAUACCGGUGGCGAAGGCGGCCCCCUGGACAAAGACCGACGCUCAGGUGCGAAAGCGUGGGGAGCAAACAGGAUUAGAUACCCGAGUAGUC
rnacentral:rRNA from 1 species